ACGUGGAGUGCGGCUUAAUUGUUCUUUUAAUUGUGUUAGGUGAUUUUCAUAGAUAUGGGCAUCUCCAAUAAAAAUAGCAAGCUCACCUGGUUCAUAACCACAAACUUGAGCAAGCAUCAUGGUAAGUAUGGCAUAGGAUGCAAUGUUAAAUGGAGAUCCUAAUCCCAAGUCACAACUCCUUUGAUAAAGGUUACAACUAAGACAAUUAUCAUUGGUAACAUAGUACUGAGAAAGCACAUGGCAAGGCGGAAGAGCCAUUUGAGAUAGAGCAGAUGGAUUCCAGGCUGUUAGUAUAUGUCUUCUAUCCUUUGGGUUAUUCUUUAAGGUCUCAAUAAGUUUUGCAAGCUGAUCAACUCCAACUCCAGUAUAAUCAUCAUGCAUCGUUUUGUACUCUCCAUUGUAAUGUCUCCACUGAAAACCAUAGAUCGGGCCCAAAUCAUUCUCCUCUCUAUGCCCUAAACCAAUUCUUUCCAAAUAUUCUUUCGAGCCAUUUCCUGACCAAAUAUAAACCUUUUUCUCAAUCAAAUGAUUUCCAUUAGUAUCUCCCUUAAUAAACCAUAUUAAUUCCUCAAAAAUGGACCUGAUUGCAACUUUUUUUGUAGUCAAAAGUGGAAAAGAUUCUCUCAUAUCAAAUCUCAUCAUCUGCCCAAAUAUUGAAUAUGUACUAAUGCCUGUCCUAUUUUCUCUAUAAGCUCCAUUCUCUAAGACCCUAGAAAGAAGGUCUAGGUACUGAAACUCAUAAUGUUCUCUUCCGAAUCGAAUACUUGGAGUGUUGUAGAUUUCUUCUUUUGGAAACUUGUGUCUAUUUCCCAUUUUUCUAAUCCCAAAUAUUUCACCAAGAAGAUCAACAGUAUCAUCUAUGGACUUUAAUUGACCUCUUACAGGGUCACAAUUUUGCAAAGUUUUUUUUUCUUGUUUUUCAAAAACCAUAAAAUCAUA
rnacentral:antisense_RNA from 1 species